rnacentral:rRNA from 1 species
GAUGAACGCUGGCGGCGUGCUUAACACAUGCAAGUCGAACGAGAAAGCUUACUUCGGUGAGUGAGUAGAGUGGCGGACGGGUGAGUAACACGUAGGUGACCUGCCUUGUAGAGGGGGAUAACCGUGGGAAACCAUGGCUAAAACCCCAGAUGUUGGGAAGUUUAGACGCUUCUGACUAAAACUCCGGUGCUACAAGAGGGGCCUGCGGGCUAUCAGCUAGUUGGUGGGGUAAAGGCCUACCAAGGCACAGACGGCUAGGGGGCGUGAGAGCGCGACCCCCCACAAUGGGACUGAGACACGGCCCAUACUCCUACGGGAGGCAGCAGUGAGGAAUAUUGCACAAUGGGGGCAACCCUGAUGCAGCAACGCCGCGUGGAUGAUGAAGGCCUUCGGGUUGUAAAAUCCUUUUCUAAGGGAAGAUAGUGACGGUACCUUAGGAAGAAGUCCCGGCUAACUACGUGCCAGCAGCCGCGGUAAAACGUAGGGGGCGAGCGUUAUCCGGAUUUACUGGGCGUAAAGCGCGCGUAGGCGGUGCGGAAAGUUGGGCGUGAAAGCUUCUGGCUUAACCAGGAGAGGUCGUUCAAAACU